UACAGAGGUCCCAAGCGUUGUUCGGAUUCACUGGGCGUAAAGGGUGCGUAGGUGGCAGGGUAAGUUUGAUGUGAAAUCUCCGGGCUUAACCCGGAAACUGCAUUGAAUACUAUCCUGCUCGAGGUUUGGAGGGGGGACUGGAAUUCUCGGUGUAGCAGUGAAAUGCGUAGAUAUCGAGAGGAACACCAGUGGCGAAAGCGGCUCACUGGACCACAACUGACGCUGAGGCGCGAAAGCUAGGGGAGCAAACAGG
rnacentral:rRNA from 1 species